UACAACUUUCAACAACGGAUCUCUUGGCUCUYGCAUCGAUGAAGAACGCAGCGAAAUGCGAUAAGUAAUGUGAAUUGCAGAAUUCAGUGAAUCAUCGAAUCUUUGAACGCACCUUGCGCCCCUUGGUAUUCCGAGGGGCAUGCCUGUUUGAGUG
rnacentral:rRNA from 1 species